rnacentral:lncRNA from 1 species
CUCCCUCCUCAGGGCUCCUCAGGAUGUGUUCUGUGAACCAGCGCACUGGACUUGUUGAAGAGGCAGAUUUCUAGGUUCCGCCCUGGAAUCCCCGGACACACAGACUUGGAGCAAGUCCUCACACAUUGUCCAUGUUUGAAAUUUUCCAAAAGGAAACGUUGCUGGGAGAGAAGGACGCUGCCUGUCCCCUCUCCCUCUUUCCAUCCUCCCCCUGACUGGGAGGCGGGAGGAGCCAGCGACAGCCUUGCCUUAGAGAGGAGGAAACCGCGUCUUGGAAGCACAGGCCCCAGUGUUGUUUGUCAGAAGCUGCAUCCUUGCCUUCUCAGCAAUCGUGGCGAACGAUACGAUUUCAAGGGACGAUCCUUUCCUGACUCCAGGGCAGUGUCUCUCUGAUGGCGAAGGUCACCCAAAGAGGAAACCAUCGCAUCUGACACCUUCUGUGCUUCUGGCUCCCCUGAGGGGCACGCCUUUGGUUGCAGCUCAGACUCUCACCUCCAGGCUGUCCCCACGGAUGCCCAGGGGCUGCGCCACCAGGAGCAGUGUGCCCGGAGGCCACAAGCACACCGCGCUCUCGGCUCAGCUUCAACCUGGAGACAGGCUCAGAGAGGAAAGCUCUUUUUCCGUCGCCUCCCUGGGGGCCUUGAGAAGACGUCCUCCUUGUUAGUGGUUCCCAAAUUGCCCUCUGUGUGGUUCUCAAGUCGGGGGUCUUGGAACAGCCUAGAGGGGUCUGCAAGAGGAUGGGGGCACCCAGCUCGGCUGGGGGUGAGAUGAAUGAAGGUCUCCCAUGGCAGUGUUGCUAUUUUUCAAGUAAAUGAGGUUGCUAUUGGGC